rnacentral:rRNA from 1 species
GAUGAACGCUGGCGGCGUGCCUAAUACAUGCAAGUCGAGCGAACAGACGAGGAGCUUGCUCCUCUGACGUUAGCGGCGGACGGGUGAGUAACACGUGGAUAACCUCCCUAUAAGACUGGGAUAACUUCGGGAAACCGGAGCUAAUACCGGAUAAUAUAUUUAACCGCAUGGUUCAAUAGUGAAAGACGGUUUUGCUGUCACUUAUAGAUGGAUCCGCGCCGCAUUAGCUAGUUGGUAAGGUAACGGCUUACCAAGGCAACGAUGCGUAGCCGACCUGAGAGGGGGAUCGGCCACACGGGAACUGAGACAAGGGCCAGACUCCUACGGGAGGCAGCAGGAGGGAAUCGGCCGCAAUGGGCGAAAGCCGGACGGAGCAACGCCGCGUGAGUGAUGAAGGUCUUCGGAGCGGAAAACUCUGUUAGUAGGGAAGAACAAAUGUGGAAGUAACUAUGCACGUCUUGACGGUACCUAAUCAGAAAGCCACGGCUAACUACGUG